GAUGAAGAACGUAGCGAAAUGCGAUAAGUAAUGCGAAUUGCAGAAUUUCCGUGAGUCAUCGAAUCUUUGAACGCACAUUGCGCCCGCCAGCACUCUGGCGGGCGUGCCUGUUCGAGCGUCAUUUCAACCAUCAAGCCCCAGGCUUGCGUUGGAGCCCUGCGGCUGCCGCAGCCUCCUAAAAGCAGUGGCGGGCUCGCUAUCACACCGAGUGCAGUAGAUUACUCUUCGCUCAGGGCGUGCAGCGGGUUCCGGCCGUGAAACCCCCUACUUUUAAAGGUUGACCUCGGAUCAGGUAGGAAUACCCGCUGAACUUAAGCAUAUCAAUAAGCGGAGGA
rnacentral:misc_RNA from 1 species